AGUACAGUUCCCGUCACAGCAAGUGCUUCCUCUCUCGGAGCAGACAAACUAACUGAAGCCACAGCCGGAAGCAGGCUGACCACAAGUGCUAAGGUUCUGGUUCAAAAGAAGAGGCUGUUCUAAGAAAGACUACCGAGUAAUCAAUCACCUCCUCAGAGAAAGUCUGCUCAGGAAACUCUCCUCCCACCAGCCCCUGCACUUGGUUCCUUGCGUUGCCUCUGGCUGGAAGCUGUUGUCCCCAACUUCAGAAAGUGUCUGCAGAUUUCACAGGCUCUCUCUUGGGUCAAGGGACCAGCUCUGUGAACACGGCAAGUAACAACAGAGAGAAAACGUGAGGAGAAAAGAGAGACCGGGAUUUUGAAAUCCUGUUUCCUGAAUGCCAUCUCACCAGGCACACGAAAGAAUAAAAUUAAGGAAUCAAGAGCCA
rnacentral:lncRNA from 1 species